rnacentral:rRNA from 1 species
UACAGAGGGGGCAAGCGUUAUUCGGAAUUAUUGGGCGUAAGGGGCGCGUAGGCGGCCUUGUAAGUCUUGGGUGAAAUCCCUCAGCUCAACUGAGGAACUGCCUCGGAUACUGCAAGGCUUGAGGCCGGGAGAGGGUAGUGGAAUUCCCAGUGUAGCGGUGAAAUGCGUAGAUAUUGGGAGGAACACCGGUGGCGAAGGCGGCUACCUGGACCGGUUCUGACGCUGAUGCGCGAAAGCGUGGGUAGCAAACAGGAUUAGAUACCCCGGUAGU